GCGGAAAUAGCUCAGUUGGUAGAGCACAACCUUGCCAAGGUUGGGGUCGCGGGUUCGAGUCCCGUUUUCCGCUCCA
rnacentral:tRNA from 1 species